AUGCCCGUGGCUGCCCCAGAUCCGUGUGUGUGCCCCCAGGGAUGCUGUGGGUCAGGCUGUGUUUUGUCUGCAUGUCCUCUCACUGGGAGUGCCAAGGGAGAUGAGAGCUGGCAGCAAAGUUUCUUUUCCAUCCUCAGUACUGAUACAAUUUUCUCCAAUGGACCUUGUUCCCACAGCUCUCUGAUGACACCAAGGAGCACAGCGAGGCAGACAGAGCAGAGCUGGCCCACUGCAUCCUGCUGCAGGGUAAGGAGAGGAGCCUUGGCGAUGCUUGGCGGUGCCCUGGCCAAACCUCUCUCACAAACCUCCGGAAUGGGUGCGAGUUUCUUGCUAACACAGUGCGGGAUUUCCUCCCCGCAGCCCGGAUCUGCCCAGAGGAAACGGUCCAGUUUCUGCAGUCACAGCUGGGCGCUGACAGGGAGGCUGGAUGCGUGGCAGCCCUGGGUCUGCUCGCUGCUCUGGCUCGCUCUGAUGGUCAGUACCACAGGUCGGGACUUCCAGGGAUCCCUUUUGCCAUCUGGGCUGUGCCUCCAUGCAUGCUUCUGCGCAUCUCUUGCAGAGCCCACGAUGACCGAGAAGCUGCCCCAGGUUGUGGAGGCUGUGCAGUGUCUGUGCAGCGACCCCAGGAUCCAGGUGAGGAGGGCCAUUCUGCACUUCAUCAAGGAUGUGCUCAGUGCUAACGCCCGGAGCUGCUCAGCCUGGGAUGUGGUGGGGCACAUCUUCAGUGAGUUCAGCCGCACCACGGGAAGAAGGGUAAGGACAGUGGGCAGCAUCUUCCUUUGGAAGACCCGUGCUGCUCAGAGGCUGGCACAGAAGCACUGGUGGGGCCACACCUGAGCCUCCUGAGAGGCUCCUGAGAACUCAGAGUAACCGGUGUUCCACAACACUGUUGUGCAGGCAGCCGGAGACCUUUCUGCCCAGGAAGCCCAGGAAGAAGGAGCUCUCCAAGAGCUGUGUAUGGACAUCCUGGGGUCACUGGAUGUCUCUGCGAGCGGGAUGCAAAGUAAGUCACAAUCUGACCUGCUGCCACUCCUUGCCUUCACACCACGUGUUCCUCAUCCCGUUCCAACACCCCCGGUCUCUCCUCCAAUGUGCUCUAAAACACACAAGACUCAGGGAAAUUCACAGAGUCCUCUUCAUCUCUGAGCGGAGGCAGGAAUGCUGACACGCUCAACCGCCUCGUUCCCUACAGCUCCUGUGGCCCGGCUGCUGCUGUACGUGGUGCCAGCCCAGUACACCGGCAUGCUGAUCCCGGUCUCCCGCUGUGUCCAAGCGCUGGCUGAGAGAGGGGACCUGAUGGUGCGGGAGAUAGAAGACCUGGAUCCCCAUUUCCUCAGCUCCAUGUUUCAAGGUAGGAGCAGAAACUCCCCCAGUGAGCUCUGUUGACCCGUGAAGCACCAAGAAUGGACAGCGGAGGUGCACGUGGGGGAGCACAGCGUGUCUGGCAUCUCACUCAGCACUUCUUCUCCCCACAGGCCCACUGCUGACUCCCCAGACACUGCUGGCACGCCUGUUGGUGAGUAGAUGCUCCAGAGGCCGGUGCCAUGAGCCCCGAGGAGGAAGCAGCAUGGCCGAGCAUGCCAGCGCCUGCCUCACCCAUGGGGAUGCCAUUCUCUUCCCGGGCUUGCAGCACCAUGGGCAAAGUUGCUGGCUGCUCCUUGCCUGCCAGGGCAGAGCCAAGCUGCUUCCCUCCUGGGAGAAGCUGCUGCUCUUGCUGCAGAAGUGACCCUGCUUCUCCUUGCUCUCACUCAGGUGGUGGCAGGGAGCCCUUUUGCAGGCAGCGAACUCCAAGCCGCUGCCUUGCUCCUCAUGCUGAACCUCCACAGCAAAAUCCACAGAGCUGUGGGGGCCAUGUGGGCCGCUGAGAUCCCCCUGCUGCUGCAGUGCCUCAAGGUAAAGUGCUGGUGGGGAGGGAGGGGCGGAGGCAGGGAAGGGGGGGAGUGAAAAUGGAGCUCUGCAGCGUGGCAGAGGGGAAGCAUUGCCUGCAGCCCAGCACUUGCUCUGCUGCUGUUCCCAUUCCAGGGAGACAGCACUGAGGCCCGGGGACCUUUCCCCCUGGGGAUCUGCCCAUUCCAGGGCACAGAUGGGCCCUCCACGUCCCCUCAGAUAGCAGUCUUGGAGCAGUUCUGUGUUCCUGCUGGGACAGUGUUUGUGGGGAGGGACAGGUCAUUGCGUAGGGUGUGCAGGUCCCAGUUUGGCAGUGCCGAGUGCCCAGGCAAACCAGGUUUGCAGCAGCUCUUCCUUUGUGGCUUGAUCCCAAGCAAGGGUCUUUUGCUUCUUGUUGCUGUGCAGGGAAAGAUGAGAGCUUCCCGGACUCUGCAGAGUGGGAGCAGCGCCUCCUAAAGGUACAGCAUUGCCGGAAGGCACGGUGCGAGAAGUGUCUGCCUGUCUCAAGGAGCCCCGUUCCCACACGGGACAGGAACAGCCUCUCAAAUGCUGCUGUGGAGCGGCCGCACGCCUCUGUGGUGCUGCCUCUUCCUCUUUGUCCCAAGCCCAAGGGGGGUCCUAGGAGAAGAGCAGCAGGCGGCUAUAAGGGAGGGAAUGCUGGGGAGCUGGGAGAGGGACUGCUCUUCCAGUCACCUCUCCCCAGAAGACUGCGGCGAUGUGGGAAUGUGGGAAGAGGCAAAGGGCAAGGAAACAUUGGCUUCUCCUGUUCUCCAACAGUUCCUGAGGGCGUCAUUGGCUACCAUGGAGGAUGAGGCCUGGACCAAGGGCCUGAGCUGCGAGCUGAGCCGGUGGCUGAGCAGCUCUCCAGCAGCUCUGGAGAAAAGGUGGGUUCCCCCGGCUCUACCCAGCGGUGCAGCCGCAGGUGCCCAACUGGGCAGGGGCUGCGGGUGGUGCUCUGCUCACACGGGCCGCUCACGCUGCUUCCCUGGCCCGUGCCCCCCAGAGGGCCUUUCCCUGCAAACUGCCUGGGGGUGGCUAAAGCUCGGCCCUGCACCUGCUCUCAGCGUCUCCCAGGGAGCGUGGGUCCUUCCCACCUGGCCCUCUCCCAGCAGGUCAGGCUGCUGCCACAUCUCAGCUUUCUUCCUUCCCUUCCCAUCCCUUCUCUUCCCUUCCCAUGCAGUCCUUCCUGUACAAGGCUCUGGGGACAGUGCUGGGAGCUUGUAAGGAAGUCCUCCACAUCCAAGAGAAGCUCCUGCAACACCUGGAGGAAGCAAAUGCAGAGGAG
rnacentral:lncRNA from 7 species